rnacentral:rRNA from 1 species
ACGUAGGGUGCAAGCGUUGUCCGGAAUUAUUGGGCGUAAAGAGCUCGUAGGCGGUUUGUCGCGUCGAAUGUGAAAACCCGGGGCUCAACCCCGGGCCUGCAUUCGAUACGGGCAGACUAGAGUUCGGUAGGGGAGUCUGGAAUUCCUGGUGUAGCGGUGAAAUGCGCAGAUAUCGGAAGGAACAUCAGUGGCGAAAGCGGCUUCCUGGACCAGUACCGACGUUCAGGCACGAAAGCGUGGGGAGCAAACAGGA